UCUCGGCUUAUCACCGGCAGUCCCCCUAGAGUGCCCAACUGAAUGAUGGCAACUAAGGGCGAGGGUUGCGCUCGUUGCGCCACUUAAGGCAACACCUCACGGCACGAGCUGACGACAGCCAUGCACCACCUGUGCGGGCUCCGUAGAGCGCCGGCUUUCACCGGCUCUGCCCCGCAUGUCAAGCCCAGGUAAGGUUCUUCGCGUUGCGUCGAAUUAAACCACAUGCUCCACUGCUUGUGCGGGCCCCCGUCAAUUCCUUUGAGUUUCAGCCUUGCGGCCGUACUCCCCAGGCGGGGCACUUAAUGCGUUUGCGCCGGCCCUCAAGGGGUCGCUCCCCCAAGGACCUAGUGCCCAUCGUUUACGGCGUGGACUAC
rnacentral:misc_RNA from 1 species